CCACGUCCAGGACUGAGGCUGUGGGAGAUGCUGAGGGUGUGUCUGUGGGGAGGACUUCUCCAGCUCCAGGGUUGGAUGCUUGGCCCCAACCCAGCUCCCAUGGCAGGGUUCCUCUGACAGGGAAGAUCCAAGACACAAGAGACAAGAUAUCCCUGGAACCACCCAAACAGACGAAGCAAGAGCUGAAGGAAAUGCGGCAGGGAGGACAAGAGAUGGACAUAGUGCUUCAGUGGAAGGUGGCAUUUCCUGAAGGAAGCACUCUAUCUUCGGUGCCAGCCCCUGCUGCAGGAAGGAAG